rnacentral:rRNA from 3 species
UUAUUGGAGAGUUUGAUCCUGGCUCAGGACGAACGCUGGCGGCGUGCCUAAUACAUGCAAGUCGAGCGA